GACGAACGCUGGCGGCGCGCUUAACACAUGCAAGUCGAGCGAAGCGGCGGACGGGUGAGUAAAACGUGAGUAACCUGCCUUAGAAAUUGGGAUAGCCUAGGGAAACCGGGAUUAAUACCAAAUGGUCUAAGAUGGACUAGCGUCCAAUUAGAUAGUUGGUGAGGUAACGGCCCACCAAGGCGACGAUGGGUAGCCGGCCUGAGAUGGUUAAGGGCCAUAUUGUAACUGAGAAACGGGCCAAACUCUACGGGAGGAAGCAGUGGGGAAUAUUGCACAAUGGAGGGAACUCUGAUGCAGCGAGGCCGCGUGAACGAAGAAGGCUUUCGAGUCGUAAAGUUCUUUUAUAUGGGAAGCGGUACCAUAAGAAAAAGCCCCGGCUAACUACGUGCCAGCAGCCGCGGUAAUAC
rnacentral:rRNA from 1 species